rnacentral:lncRNA from 1 species
UUACAUCAAACAUCAGGGGAGGGCUAUCAUCGGAGUAGAGGUAGUUAGCAAUGUUUUUAUGCCACGGUGACGAAAGACAUCUAUCACCCUCAGUGUCUGUUUCAUUGAAGCCACUAAAAUCAACUCCAAAGCCAUCUUUGUGCCAGACAGCCAAAGAUUUCAUCUUCAUCUUAAGCUCGCACAUCUGCAGUUCCUGCAGAACUUCACAUUUCCUACUGAAGCCCUUCUCCCUGGUCUGUUUUAACAACCCCUACCGGAAUCGGUUCCUAACGGGCAAGGGAAGCUGUAGUCAGAGCAACUGGGAGCUGGCAGAGCCAAAGGAGCUGCCUUGGGAAGAGUUCUGCUGUCUGCGAGUUUUGAGCAGUUGGAGCUGGCCAGAGUGGAAGGCCAUGGGAGCAUUCACAGGAAGUCGAUGUUUCCUGACCAUUCACAGGAAGUCUAUGUUUCCUGACCAGCUCAUCCCGUUCCCGACUCUUCCAGCAAUUUCAUGUCUACAACUAAAGCGUUUUGCCUUGUGAGUAAAUCUAAUAAUGGGUCUUCUUCAAAUUGUUGAAGACGUAAGAUUUUCUGCAGCUUGUUAAUCUGGAGAAGGAGGAGGGAGACCAAGUAAGAAGAAGAAAUCUCUCUCACCCAGCUGGAGAGGUGUCCGGUGGGAAAACCCUGCAAUUUAAGGUCACAGUCUCCUCUGAGCUCCAGGCAAAAUGGGGGGUGUCCUUUACUGUCUCUGACCUUGUCUGGGGAGCCACAUCCUCCCCCCACACCCACUACCUGGAGAAGAUCUAGUAGUCCUUGGCAAACUUACAAGUUCAAUUCCUCCCACACACCCCCACCCCACCCAAGAACCCACCCAGCAAGUACCUGGGAUUCUAGAAUGCCUCUCCAUGCAAAUGAGGUAUUUCUGGUAAUUUAAACUCCAGCCAAUGAAACUUCACCCUAAGGAGAACUCCUUCUCACUCUCUAAGAGUCAUGUAUACCUCUGGUUCACCCGGAUUAAAGGUAUAUGCACAAGCUAGAAUAGCCUAAGAGAGAUGUUUUGUUUCAUUGAAGACAGUAGAGGCCUUCAUCUAAAAGAGCUGUAACACUAAAAGUGUACCACAGUGUUCCAGUGGAGAGACCUUUUUGGAUUUGUGUAAAGCCCUGGCUUCUGUUUUCCAUGAUGGCCAAAAAAGAAAAAGAAGGAAAGAAGAAAGAAAGGAAAGAAGGAGAAAGGAGGGAGAGAGGAAGAAGGGAAGGAAGUAAAGCAGAGAAAAGAAAAGAAGAGGUAAUGGAAGGGGAGGGGAGGGGAGGGGAGGAGAGGGGAGGAGAGGAGAGGGGCGGGGAGGGGAGGGGAGGGGGGAGGGGAGGGAAACAGAAGGGAGGGCAGGGGAGGGGAGGAGAGGGGAGGGGAGGAGAUGCUCCCUAAGAGGUCCUGGGUGGAAGAGAGGGGGCAAUCAUUGAGGAAAAGGAUAGGGAAGGUUGUUCAGGCAGUCAGGAGAUGGGGAAUGGUGUUCAUAGUCUAUUCCUGUCUUGAAGUAGAUG